AAUACAACAUAUGGCAAUGCCAUACAGAAACACAUCAUAUUAGGCUACACCCACUACGAAGCAUUUCACAUGUACUCGUCACCAUCAUCAUCAUCACCCUCAGCUGAUUCAGCACCAACCUCCUCAUAAUCCUUCUCAAGGGCGGCAAGAUCCUCACGAGCCUCAGAGAACUCGCCUUCCUCCAUGCCCUCACCAACAUACCAGUGCACGAAGGCACGCUUGGCAUACAUGAGGUCAAAUUUGGAGUCAAUGCGAGAGAACACCUCAGCAACACUGGUAGAAUUGGAGAUCAUGCAAACAGCCCUCUGCACCUUGGCAAGAUCACCACCAGGAACAACAGUGGGUGGCUGGUAAUUGAUACCACACUUGAAUCCAGUGGGGCACCAGUCAACAAACUGAAUAGUACGCUUGGUCUUGAUCGUGGCAACAGCAGCAUUAACAUCCUUGGGCACAACAUCACCACGGUACAUCAGACAACAGGCCAUGUACUUUCCAUGGCGAGGAUCACAUUUAGCCAUCAUUGAUGAAGGCUCAAAAGCACUGUUAGUGAUCUCAGCAACAGAGAGUUGUUCAUGGUAGGCUUUCUCAGCAGAGAUGACUGGUGCAUAGGAGGAAAGCAUGAAGUGGAUUCUUGGGUAAGGGACCAAGUUAGUCUGGAAUUCAGUAACAUCCACAUUCAAAGCACCAUCAAACCUCAGAGAGGCGGUCAAGGAGGAA
rnacentral:lncRNA from 1 species